rnacentral:tRNA from 1 species
AUUUCAUUAGUAAAAAUUAUUAUAUUAUCUUGAUAAGGUAAAGUUCUAAGGGUGAAAUA